GAUCUGGAUGGACGGCGAAGAGGUGAUGAUUCGCGCCAAUCAGCUGGAUUUUUCCGGCGAUGAGAUGGAAGAGGGGAUGAGUUAUUACGAUGAAGAGAGUUUAUCCCUGUGCGGCAUGGAGGAUUUUCUACGGGUCGUCGCCGCGUAUCGGGAAUUCGUCAGUAAAGCCUGACCCUCUCUUCGUUAUUGUCCCACAACGCCAGUCGACGGACAGUUGGGGGCGGUAGCGGAAACGAAGUCGCCAAACAUUCCAGCCGGGAGUAUCCCGGCUUUUUUAUAGCAGAAUGAUUUUUUGAUUUUUAUUAAUCAUUUUAAAACUGUGAUCUGGCGCGUUUGUGAUCUUAAUUUGAUUGAAUAUAAUCUUUAUGAUUUUAUUCAAUCACAACAAGCAACAGGCGGUAAGACCAUGAA
rnacentral:misc_RNA from 1 species